AAAAACGGGAGCCAGAGCAGAAGUGAAUAUUAAGGUUAUAAUUAUUCAGAAAACGAAUUAUAUUCCUUAAGUUGAACCACAUUAAAGAUGAGAUGACAUUUGUUGUAAAACAAAAAUAUCUGGUGGAUUACAGUGGAUAAAAAAAAGACAAAAAACCAGUCUGGCUAUCUGCAAUAGCAGUGGAUGUUACCUAACAGACUGGUUUUUUUUGAGGCUUCUUCUGAUCCUGGAUUCCUGGUGUUCCUCCAACUGAAGGUGGAUUCCUCUCUGUUCGCCUUGGUGCCUGGUUCUCUGGUCUAUCCUUCAACUAAC